ACACUAUCCUUCUCCUCUAGCUUCUCCCCAGACCUUCCUCCUUCAUCGCCACUUCUCCCUGAGGGUGAUGAUUCCUGGGACUUCCCCAUCCAUGCUGACUCUAAGGCAUCUGACUACAAAUUGAUGGACACCGACGAGAACGACAGCAAGGACAGAGUGGCCGAUAAGUUUGUCUCCCUGUUCUAUGGUCCCAUCAUCCCCACAGAUGAGGAUAACUUGUGGAGCUAGGACAACACCGAUGACAAUGAGAUCGAGUAUGAGCAGGUCAGCUCCUCCGAUGAGGAGGAGGCUCCAUGGCGCAUCUACAUGGAGGAAGAUGAGGAGGAGGAGGUCGCUUCCUAGGAGUCCGAUAAGGAACCACUAGCAGCGGCACUGGUGACGACAGUGAUGAUGACUACAAGGAUGGUAAUGACGGCGAUGAAUUGUUGGCAAAGCGCGCCAUGUGGGGUUAGACAAAGUCGUUCUAUCGACUUAGAGGGGUGAAAAACCUCGUUUAUUUUCAUUUGUUUUUUCUUUUGUAAAAAUAAUGAA
rnacentral:lncRNA from 7 species